AUUGAACGCUGGUGGCAGGCCUAACACAUGCAAGUCGAACGGUAACAGGAAGCAGCUUGCUGCUUCGCUGACGAGUGGCGGACGGGUGAGUAAUGUCUGGGAAACUGCCUGAUGGAGGGGGAUAACUACUGGAAACGGUAGCUAAUACCGCAUAACGUCGCAAGACCAAAGAGGGGGACCUUAGGGCCUCUUGCCAUCGGAUGUGCCCAGAUGGGAUUAGCUAGUAGGUGGGGUAACGGCUCACCUAGGCGACGAUCCCUAGCUGGUCUGAGAGGAUGACCAGCCACACUGGAACUGAGACACGGUCCAGACUCCUACGGGAGGCAGCAGUGGGGAAUAUUGCACAAUGGGCGCAAGCCUGAUGCAGCCAUGCCGCGUGUAUGAAGAAGGCCUUCGGGUUGUAAAGUACUUUCAGCGGGGAGGAAGGGAGUAAAGUUAAUACCUUUGCUCAUUGACGUUACCCGCAGAAGAAGCACCGGCUAACUCCGUG
rnacentral:rRNA from 1 species